GAUGAACGCUGGCGGCGUGCCUAAUACAUGCAAGUCGAGCGAACAGACGAGGAGCUUGCUCCUCUGACGUUAGCGGCGGACGGGUGAGUAACACGUAGAUAACCUACCUAUAAGGCUGGGAUAACUUCGGGAAACCGGAGCUAAUACCGGAUCAUAUAUUGAACCGCAUGGUUCAAUAGUGAAAGACGGUUUUGCUGUCACUUAUAGAUGGAUCCGCGCCGCAUUAGCUAGUUGGUAAGGUAACGGCUUACCAAGGCAACGAUGCGUAGCCGACCUGAGAGGGUGAUCAGCCACACUGGAACUGAGAUACGGUCCAGACUCCUACGGGAGGCAGCAGUAGGGAAUCUUCCGCAAUGGGCGAAAGCUUGACGGAGCAACGCCGCGUGAGUGAUGAAGGUCUUCGGAUCGUAAAACUCUGUUAUUAGGGAAGAACAAAUGUGUAAGUAACUAUGCACGUCUUGACGGUACCUAAUCAGAAAGCCACGGCUAACUACGUG
rnacentral:rRNA from 1 species